rnacentral:rRNA from 1 species
CCUACGGGGGGCAGCAGUAGGGAAUCUUCCACAAUGGGCGAAAGCCUGAUGGAGCAACGCCGCGUGGGUGAAGAAGGUCUUCGGAUCGUAAAACCCUGUUGUUAGAGAAGAAAGUGCGUGAGAGUAACUGUUCACGUUUCGACGGUAUCUAACCAGAAAGCCACGUCUAACUACGUGCCAGCAGCCGCUGUAAUACGUAGGUGGCAAGCGUUAUCCGGAUUUAUUGGGCGUAAAGGGAACGAAGGCGGUCCUGUAAGUCUGAUGUGAAAGCCUUCGGCUUAACCGGAGUAGUGCAUUGGAAACUGGGAGACUGGAGUGCAGAAGAGGAGAGGGGAACUCCAUGUGUAGCGGUGAAAUGCGUAGAUAUAUGGAAGAACACCAGGGGCGAAAGCGGCUCUCUGGUCUGUAACUGACGCUGAGGUUCGAAAGCGUGGGUAGCAAACAGGAUUAGAUACCCCAGUAGUC